CGUUCAGGGGUAAACCUAAGAAACCCAAAAGAUCGAACGGGGAGAUUCAUCGUCAGCGACAUCGGCUUCGCGUCGGUGGGCGAUGUCCCGCGGUUUCUCGCGCGGGCACGCUACCGUGCGCGCAUGACCGGCUUCGUCGUCGUGCACUUCUCCCCUAGUAGAACGUCGCGACCCGCUGGGUGUCGGUCUACGGCCCGGGUGAGGUGACUGUCGCGUCGCCGGUAAAACGGCACGCGGCAAACCCUCGGACGCCCGGCCGGCUGCCCGGCGGUACUCGCACGGUAUCAGGCCGCAGUUUGUCUGCGUCAAGCCCGUCGCAAGCGCGCGCCACGGUUACUCGGAGGUACGGACCUAGCGCCGUCCCCGGUCCUGGUCCGCUGUUGGCCGACGGUGACCUUUGACAGGCCUUACGGGGCGACGUGGGGGGGCUUUCGCCCCGUUCCACGUCCGCCCUAAUACCGGUCGGCGACGCUACUGCUUUGGGUACUCUUAGGACCCGUCUUGAAACACGGACCAAGGAGUCUAACAUGUGCGCGAGUCAUUGGGACUAGCAAAACCCAAAGGCGCAAUGAAAGUGAAGGUCGGCCCUGGCGCCGACCGAGGGAGGAUGGGCCGCGUCGCGAUGCGGCCUCGCACUCCCGGGGCGUCUCGUUCUCAUCGCGAGCAGAGGCGCACCAAGAGCGUACACGUUGGGACCCGAAAGAUGGUGAACUAUGCCUGGUCAGGACGAAGUCAGGGGAAACCCUGAUGGAGGUCCGUAGCGAUUCUGACGUGCAAAUCGAUCGUCGGAACUGGGUAUAGGGGCGAAAGACUAAUCGAACCAUC
rnacentral:rRNA from 1 species